rnacentral:lncRNA from 1 species
UAUUUGGGUACAUAAAGUAGUGGAGUAUCACCAGGAAGUUGAAUAAAUCUCAUAGGAGUUAGGAUGAAGAAGUUAUUCCACUUUCAAAUCAGGUGAUCCCAGUUUUCCUGUUUGGGAAUAUGACAAGUUCUUCGUCAUUCUAAUCAAACCAGGAUGAAUCGCGAUAUAAGAACCUGUAUUUGGAUACAUAAAGUAGUGGAAUCACCAGGAAGUUGAAUAAAUCUCAUAGGAGUUAGGAUGAAGAAGCUAUCCCACUUUAAAAUCAGGUGAUCCCAGUUUUUCUGUUUGGGAAU